UUAAUGUUACUUUACACAUGUCUCCAGCUCUGUGUAUAAUGAUGGUUAAUGUUACUUUACACAUGUCUCCAGCUCUGUGUACAUGAACUAUGUGACAAUUUCUGCCAUCGGUAUAUCAACUGUUUGAAAGGGAAAAUGCCCAUAGACCUCGUCAUAGAGGAUAGAGAGGGUAUCGGGGCCAUCAAAACCGGGGCAGCAUCACCGACGGAUGGGGGCUCAGAUAACCACAGUGAAUCCAGAAGCCCUAUGGAUCAGGUCAGUGUAAAAAAAUAUUGUAUUUAAAAAAUAAAUUGGAAAAAAAAUUACAUUUUUUUCCUCGGGUGAAUACCCAGGAUAAUGUUUCUCGAGAGAAUGUGGAAUGAAGUGGAAGAAGAACGGAAAGAACUAUGGUAUUAUGGUUUUAAAAUAUCCAAGCCUAUUAGGCUGAAUUGCAUUACAUGUACACAAUAUCACCAUUCUUUGACAAUAUUGUAGCGCAAUCAGAUAUUAUGUACUGUAAUAUCAACAAAUAAAAAGAAAGCAUUUGGUAUCCUGACAGAUUGAGGAAAAGAUGACCAGAGUAAAAGAGGAAAAGAAAACUCAGCAGAGUAGGGGAUGAGGUAGGAUGAAGAGGAAGGACAGGAUAAAGGGAAAGAAGAGCGGCAAUGUGCAUUACUCCAUUGCACACAAUUGAUUUCAGUAAAAUACACAUUUCCCAUAGGAAGGUUCCAUAGCAUAGAGUUAAAUGGGUUAAAGUAUCGAUGUGACCACUCAUAUUGCUGGGGUUCAUGUAAGCUUCUGCUGUUGGAGUAAAAAAAUGUUUGUGUGUGUCAUAGUUCUUUCUUCACUUUGUUCAUUAUGUUUCCAAAAAUAUACUUUAUGUGGAAAGAAUUAUUUUUUAAUUUUAUAAAGGAGGGAGCCCCUUCCCUUUUAAUACUUCAUAUAAUCUGUUUCAUUCUGAAUUAAGAUCUUGAUAGACUACAUGUCCGGGUAGCACAUAUACUAAUUUCUAUCGGUCAAUAAAGCUACAUUUUCUUUUGUUCGUGGUAGGCUAUACAUGCAUGCAAUGUUUCAUUUUAUUCAGUUCACCUUCACAGAUUUCCAGCUAAAAACACAAGCGUUAUGAGUUUGAGCUGUCUGAUUGGAUAACCAAAUCUCUGAAACCAUUUAAUCAUGAUUGCAUGUCAAAAUCAUGACAGCCAAAAACCCAUUUUGAUAUUAACUGAGAAAUUCUGUUGACUUCACUGAACGAAAGUAAUAUGAAUUCAAACAAGAAAAUGGCUCUUUUCCUACUUGGAGCAAUACCCUGCCAUAGAUGACGAGCCAUUCUCCUGUCAAAAAGAACAGGCAAAGUCAACUUUUCCAUUACUUUGUGUAAUUGAAAUUUAAUUUUGUUCUGUUUGCUUUGCCUACAUGAUUCAUGCCAUGGUUGUACGUAAUUCCUCUUUUAAAGUCCUGGGCAGAAAGAUGAUUUUUUAGAGGUUUUCAUUGCCGAUAAUGCGACUUUUGAAGUUUAAUCGGCUUUACAGAUUUCAACUUUGUGAAGUUUGUUUUGCGACUAACUUGCAAUUACCUUGCUUCUAUUGGUGUUCUUUUCAUAACUUGAAUAAAAUAUAUGUCCCUAAGUAUUUAAUAGUGUAAUUUCAACAACUGAUCUUUGUAACCAUUUUCUUGGGGUUAGAAUUCUAAUAUAGUUAAGUAAAUAGUUAUUGGUCUUAAAACAUUUAUAUUAAAAGAAACAAAAUGUCUUUUGCAUGUUUAAUUUUAUUAGCUGUUUGUUUUCUUAUCUGAUUCAUUAAAUCAAAUCAUUUCACUUCAUAUUAUUUUCCUUCCAAUAACCACAAAAUUAUAAGAAAUUUGACAAUUUGUUUGAAUUGAAAAUUGUCGUAUCAGUAUGAAGACAAGCCAAAUUUAGAAGUGAUAGAAAUCAAAUGCAGGGGUUAUUUUUUAACUUUGAUAUCAUGAAUGAGUUUAUGGGCCUGUGCACAAUUCUUAUAUGAUGAACCAUGGGUCUAUAGACUGGGCAGGUAGGGAGAAAAGGGUGACAGUGUACCCCAGAACCUUGCCAAGGUUCUGCUAGGUCAGGGGAUGGUGUUUUGGCAGACUCAUCCCACCACACCUGUGGUGAUACCUCUUCCUUUACAUGCAAUGACUGCAUUGCGGAACUUCCUGCGCUAAUUACCCCGGCCCGUUACAAGAACAGGGAAGAAAGUCAAAAGAAAUGUGAGGUUCCUGGACACUUGGUAGACAUGUGCCACUGGAUACUCACCAGUUUUGACUCCUAUGUUUGUUAGUUUUGACAGGUCUUGCGGUGUGCUCUGAUACAUCAAAUAAGUAACAGGAGAUACCUCUAAUGGAUACUUCUAUAAAGUCAUCGUUGACACUGUUUCAAGCUCUUUUGCCCAUCCCUCCCGUCUCUAUUGAUUUACUCAUUUUUGUAGAAAAUGGGGGAGAGGGGAUCACUGAUAUGGCAUGUUCCCAAGUUGUUCUUUAUCUUCACAUCAUGAUCGCCACCGAUAUGAUUUCCUUGCAUAAGUUGAUGGAGGAAAAUUUGCUGCUCGAUUUCAGUGAAAUUGAGUUUGAUGUAUUUUGGAAAGAUUGUUGUCAUUGUUUAUUUUGUCCUAAGCAAGAAGUGCAAACAACUUGCAUUGUUUGGAGAGACAUUGAGUUACAAGGAUGCCCCAAAAGGUGUAUCAUGUUACUAGAUCUUUGAUAUUUUAAUGUAAGAUUUCAUAAAAUGACGUCAUCGCAAUUUUUUACUUGUUUAUUUCAUUGACAAAAAUAAUAUCUAAAAUUGUCUUUGCAUUAGGAGCUGAAAUCUAAAUAAGUAUGUAAUAACUUUUAGAUCUAUGGCAAGUGAUGUCAAAACCUCUGUCAUUAGUUUGUUCUCUGCUCCAUGGUCCCAAAUCCAAAAUCUUCCUGUUCUAUGACUCCAUAGUAUGGCCAUCUUUAUGGUGGUUGUUCUAAGAUGGUCUGUCUUAGUUUUAGAUCAGAAUCAUGCACCUUCAAAAUUAAUUCCUGAACAAUACCACUUGAUGAGGCAGUGUGCCGUGCUACUUGGUACCAAAUCCAGGAGCAUCAUGCUCAAACACACGGCUUUGUCUCUGAGCAGGUUGGUUCUGAGAUGAUUUUACACUCGGACCAAGGAAUUUUUUAUUCUUGAACAGUGUCACUUUAUGAAGCCAGUGAAUUCCCUAAUGAGGCAGAGUGCUCUUCCACUUUGUAAUGAACCCUGGGGCUAGACUGUUGUUCUAAGUUCUGGUUCUACCACUGAGCCAUCAUGAGUGUGGUUGUUCUGAGAUGGUCUCCCACAGUCCUUGGUGAGUUCAGCUAUUGUACCAUCAUCAAAGUGAUAACUUGAACAAUGUCACUUCUUGAAGUUGUGUGCUCUUCUUUUUUGUUCUAAACCUAGGAGCAUAGGGUUCUAAGUCCUAUUUCUACCACUGUGCCAUCAUUAGAGUGGAUGUUCUGAGAUCAUCUUGUAUAGAUCAAUGUACCGUAUUACCAGCAGCAUCUUCAAAGUUAAAAGUUAACUCCUAUAAUCAAUUUAACAUAUCAAUGUGUUAUGCUCUUCUACUUGGUCCAAAAUCUAGGAGCUCUUUGUUCUUAGUUAUGGCACUGCCUCUGAGCAAUAAUUUGGAUUGGUCUAAGAUGGUCAGCUGUAGAGGAUUGUAUGCUCUUUUAUUAAUUACCAAACCCACAAUCUUUUCUCUACCCCUAAAGCUAUUAAUGUGUUUUGCUCAGCAACUUACAUAGAAUUUCACAACAUAGUCAUAGAGGUGAUAAACAGAUAUAUCUCCUGCAUUUGGGCAACCCUUCUUAUAUACUUCAGUCGUCUUUGUCAAUUCCGCGAUAAAGCAUUGCAGUAUCGAGUUAGGAGACCGUCUGGCAAAGAUGAGACUAUCACCUUCGGAGUUCAUAGCAUUCCAUGAACAAUGUCGCAUCAUGAGGUAUUGUGGUGUUUCGGUUGUAUGCCCUCCCUCUUUUCAGACCAGAUCAGAAUAAAAUCCAUUCAAGGGGUAACAAUGACAAAACAGCGCAAGGGGGUCUUAUAGGGAGAAUAACCUGUAACAUCAAUUCAUCAGGCAACUCAGGGCCCUUCUUUUCUUUAUACUCUUGACCAUUUCUUUCUUUGACCCUAUCUCCCUUCUGAUGAUCAUUCAUUCAACAAAAACAACUUUGAAUUGAUUGAUAUAAGCCUUGCUCAAUGUUGCUAAAUGUGAAGAGAUCUUGGGUAGCUGAGGGAUGGAAAUGAUGCACAUUGUGGAGAAAUUGGGAUGGGGUAGAAGUGAAACAGAAAUUCUGUAGAUUCAGACAGACAUGGAUGUAGAUAGAGAGUGAUAGGUAAAGAAAGCAAGUGGAGUCCAGAGAAUGAGAGCGAUCUGCCCAGUGACAUUAGAAGAAUUGCAAGUGAUCUAUUUUCGACCAGUCUGCAAGUUAAAUGAUGGAGACAUGGUAGAAAUGUGAAAAAAAUAAGAAGAGAUGAAAGAAAAGUGGGAAUGCAGAACCAUUCUUCCGCAAAUACAGACCAAUCUACUCUCUUUUACUGUGAAGGAAGAGAGAAACAGAGGGAGAGAAGGGGGGAGGGGUGGGAAGAAAACAUCUCAUCAAUCUCAUUUCUUGUACCAAUGUAGGUUGAUUUAGAAGCUCCAGUGCAAUGCUCACUUUGGAGUGGAGUAGUUUAAGGGGGGCAACUUAAAAGAUGACAGCUCCAAUUUGGUUGACGGCUCCAGAGAGAUAGCUUUGAUCCUCGCCCCUUGUUCAUCAUCACUGGGAUGGGAAGGUCCUCCAGCAAAAUUGGGGUUGGGAUGGGGGGAAAAUGGAAGAUGGAGCGUUCCCUUAAUGUCUCCUGAUGCCUGGGGAGUGCCGUGCAAAAGAGAGAAAAAUGGGGGCUAUAUUCAUGCAUCUUAAUUUAGGAGUCCCUUUGACAGGCACGGCCAGUCUGCCCCUGAUGUGUGCCAGUGAUGCGCUGGAUGAAUCUCAUCUCAUUAAUUCCCAUUUGAAGAGGAGAAAAGGGGGUAGGCCUUUUGUGUCCGGCUUGACAGUUAUAGUUUCAGGAGAGAUUAAGGAGGACACAGAGAUCAAAAGAGACCACAUGUUUGCUUGGAAAAUUACAGCUUCUCGUUUUAAAAUAUCACCCAGUAGGAAUGAAGAGGAGCAUCCUGAAAUGAUGACUGAUGACAUGUUUCCAUAGUAAAAAAAAAAAAAGAGAAGAAGAUAACACUUUACAUGAGCGGCAGACAUCCACUGUCUGAUAGCUAUUGUAGUGUGGUCAAUCCAUCAUUUAUACGGAUUUGGAUGUCAGAGAAAUCUUUCAAAAAUGAAUAAAUUUGUGGACCGAUUUGAAGAGGAUCUUUAGGUUCUGUGGAUGAUUUAUGAUCACAGACCAAAUAAGGGAGAUGAAUUUUUCUGACCUUCUUUUGAUGUUGGCCUUAAACUUGUUAAAGAUAUUAUCCCUAAAGGGCAUAUCAAUAAAAUUGGUAAGAGAGAUUUGAGGCUUUACUCGUGAUCCCAAAAGUUUGAAUUGACAUUCACAAGUCUUCUGGAAUAGAAACAGUGUAACUGCUCAUUUAUAUUCUUGCAGGCUGUAGGCCUACAUAUCAUGCAUGACCUAAUUUUGUUAGAAAUCCUAAAUCAUUCUUCAGAUGAAUUUGAUUUUUUAAUUGAUUUAGUUCAUCUGCCACUAUUCAUAAUAUUGAAAUUAUUGUAAUUGUACCUAUAAAUUUCUUAAGUCAGAGGGCGAACACUUUGAGUCAUCCUGUGAAGCUACAGCAGGAUUUGUACAACCAUGUUUACAUUGGAUGUAGCCUAAUCCCUUAACAUAUAUCGAAGUAAUAUUCAUCACAAUUAAUUGAAUUUGAAAAACGGAGUGUUUCCAUUGCAAAUUCAAACUUGUAAGGCCUGUCAAAGAUUAAUUAUGAUUGAAGGGAUAGGGUAUCCAUAGCAUGUUCUUUAUAUCAUUCACAAAUUCUUUCUUUUUCCUAUUUCAUAUUCAUAAUAAAUCUUUCUGCACUCCAGAAAGUCUGAAAGGUCAAGGAAAGGUCAUAAGUUUCAGGCCAUGUCCUUAGCUAAGGUCAGUCAACCCCAGAGAAAAUGGAUUCCAACCCACCUUGAUAAGAAAACAUAAUUAUGCAGCUCCUUCUGGGCUAGUCUUGGAUUUGGAGUUAAUCAAUGCCCAUUUAAAAUAGCGGCUCUUGACUUUGCAUGAUCCUUUGGAAUAAUGAGACAAUAUUUUUGUUCAAAUUGCAUAAGGAUAGUUUGAGCAGCCUCUGAUAAUGUAUGUCGAUGUGUAUAGUUUUUUUGUUAAACAGAUUUUAAAAAAUGGAAAAAGGCAUAGAUAAUGGAUAUCAUGGCUCUAAAAUUAUUGACUGUAAUUGUACGAAACCCAACUAAGUUUAGAAUACAAUAAGAUGACGAUCUGCUACUGAGGCCUUCUGCACAAAAAUUUAUAUUCUGUAUGCAUAAUUUUCAUCUAUGUGCAAAGGGUUAGACCAAAUUAAAAUUAUGAAAUUUAUUUAUUUUGCCCUUAAAAUGCUGAUUAUCAUUGUUACAAUCAACUGGGGUGGCAUUGAGACCUUGGUAGGCCUAAUACCUUUGAUAGGAAACAAGACACUCUUGUAUGCAAAUACAUAUUGUAUAAGGGCCACAUAUAUAUUGACUACAAACCAGCUAUUGUUUAUGCUGCAUUGAAUAAUUGCAUUUGAUGAAAAUGAAAUGGGUCCUGUGUCACAGACUAACAAGGAAUGUCCAGGCCCUUAUUGUUAGUUCCAAGGUCAGUGAGGUCAUCUGGGCAAACCAAAUUAGGUGAUGACCUUUGGUGUUUGGAAUGUCAGCUGUGGGCUUUCCAUGUUGACUGGGUUCAAUCUGUAAUCAUGGAGCUCGAUGUAGCAAGAUGAAAUGAUUGGAUUCGGAAUUCAAGUGUUAUUCAGUCUUCCACCAGUUUUCCAUAUUGUGAUAAAAUAGUAUCAGUUGCAUCACAAUGACUAAAGGGGCUGUUUAUAUACGCUUGUGUAAAUAUGGCAGGCCACUUGCUUAUUUUAUCCUAUUUACUUAUAUCAGGAAUUGCCUUUUGUAAACAACACAACAUUAUGAUUAUUUCUUGAUUUAUAGAUCAAAAGAAUUUGAUUUCUUGAUUUUUUUUGUGUUGUUAUGAAAGGCAAUUGUUGAUAUCAAGAAUGGAAUUGGAAUAGGCCAAUAUUAUGGGCCUGCUUGAUAUGAAGAAAAAGGAUUAAAUGGGAAAAUAGCCUGCCAUAGCUCAUAUGUACAUUGGCAUAUGCUUGCUGAGACAUCCAGGUGUGACGACCCCUUUCAUCCAAAAUAGAAUGAGAUUGCAAGAAACAUACUACCCUAAUGUCAUGGUUCCUGGUUCGCAACCUUAUCUGUGAUAAUGUAUGAAUCAUUGCUCAAGAAUUUACUGUUCCGAAGAUGCAUCUAGUUUACAGUAUACCAUGACUUUCACUUAUGGCAAGUACUUGACUCUUGAUCAAAUCACCAAAUUAGAAAUAAAUCAAGAAUUCUAAAGAAUAUGAUUGUAAACUGCAAUUAGAGAGUGCACAUACAUAUAUUAUAUUUCCCCAUAGCAAAAUCUCCUCUUAUUGCUGGUAUCCAAAGAAAUAAAAUAAGGCAAGAAAAUUAUAUGAUUAUUUUGUGUGAAAUCAAUCAAAUUUUUUUCAUAAAAGUAUUAAUUCUUAUCUUUUCUUUAUUGUUAUAAUUGUUUGAAGCCUAUUGAAACUUGUGUGAUAUAUGAUGCAACAAUGUACCACAACAAGGCAUGGCCAAACUGCCAGGGAAUACAUCUAUUGCAAGGUAUAUUGAAAAACAGAUGCCUCAUUGUGAUGCCCAUAAGGCUCCGAGGUUGUAAUCUGCCACUACUUGGGGUGGCUUGACGAACAUAAGCCCCUCUAAACUCAAGAGUUCUUGAGGACUACCAAAAGGCACAGACACAGAACCCAAACCAUUGCUGACCUCCGCUGACCUUGCAGUGCCUUCUGGGAUCAGUACUGUUUACUGCUCUAAGUUCAGCCCCCAUUAUGGUGUUCUUGAAAAAUAAUAGAAAAGACAAGAAUGGGAGAUGAUAAUAGAGGCACUGAGGAAGAAAGAGGUAGAGAGAGAGAGAGAGACAUGGGGCAAUAGGGUUCAACAGAAGAGAAAGAAAUGGAGAAAAUGGAGAAAAGGGGGAGAGAGAGAGAAGGAAAAAGAGAAUGUGAGGAAGAGUUAAAAUCGAAAGAGAAUAUUUCUGUAAUUUUUCUUAUAGUGCUGGUGGGUGGAAGGGGGGGGGGGGGUAGCAACAAUUUUAUCUAUGCCUGCAUUAUUUGCUGUCUCCUACAUGUCUCCAACAUGUCAUGGUUUGAUGUAGUCUUUAUGAUCAUUUUAUUGAAGACUUCACCUCAGUUUCCUCCUAUAAAGUAAAGUCAAGAAUAAAUCUGUAAACAUUUUUGCAAAGUGCAAAUAAAAGAGUUUGAUAAAAUGUGAACGUGUCUUUAGAAUGUUUCCUUGCAAAGAAAUAAACAUAAUGCCACAAUUUUUUUUCCAUUUGAGAUAUUAUAGAGUUGCAUCAUGUUAUGGGCAAUAAAGAUUAUUCUUCUAAACAAAUAUCCCUUUCAUACAUCUUCAAAACAAAUAUCCCUUUCAUACAGAUGGCUUAUGUUAAUGGUUGGAUAGGAACUCACUGCUAUUUGUCCGUAUUUUUUUUUACCUUGAUGCACAGAAAAUAACAAAAUUAUGACAGAAAAAAAAGAUUGAUUUAAAUAGUUUGGUUUGGUUUUAUGUCCCCCCCCCCACCCUAGACAAAGACCAUGAUGCAUGUGAAACCAGGGCCGUGUCAUUAGAGGUCAAAGUGUAGUCUGCUAUGCAGACUCUGAAUGGCUCGUGAAGUGGAAUCUGCAGCUGGUUUGCGAAGCAAACCAGCCUGAAAGGGCGAGCGAAGCGAGCCAUUUCAGAGUCUGCUUCUUCUUUGGAAAUCUUGUUCCCACGGUCAAAAUAAGUCCCACCCACCCAAAAUUUCAGAGAGCUUUCAUUGGAUAACUUCAUCUGUCUGUAAACCAAAUUUUAUGACCACUGAGGAGUAUAGAUAAUCCCCUACUUCAACCACAGAGCCAUGAGCAGGGUUGUUAUGUAAUACCCUCGCUCAGGCCAUCAGACAGUGUUUACGUAUGACAUUCCACUGAGCAGCUGCAUGUAUGGCCAAAACCUUGCUCCAUGGCCCAAAAUAGUGGAUGGUUUUAUCAUAGCUCUAUAUAUAUAUUCUAUUCAAUUCAAUCUUUAUUUCGCAAAUAGGAUAAAAAUACAAGGAAACAUCAAAUAAUGUGAUUAGAUAAUAAAAAUCAAUAAUUGCGUGGCUUCCCAUGAAGGUAAUAAGAAACAUGUGAGGCUCGCCAAAACAUAGUAAAAACAAAACAACAUUAAUACAAAACAGAAUAUCAUAUCAUUAUAGUUAAUAGUGUAUAUAAAAAGGAGAAAAAAAACACGAGUUGAGGGGGGUAGAUACGUUACAAGUAUGCAUUGAUAUCAUGUGUGAGAAUUAAUAAUAAUUUACUAGAAAAUUUGAAUACUGUUUUCUAAAAGAAUAUAUAAAUUGUGAAUUAGUUAUUAUUUGGGGAAUCUCAUUCCAUCGUUUGGGACCUACAUAACUCAGCUUCGUGACUAUAGACCUAAUAGACCAUAAAUGAAAUUUAUUGGAAGAACGGGUAUUAUGGUUAUGAACUUGAUUAUUGCAUUGAAAAAGAUCUGAAAACUACAUGGGUAACAACUACCUCUUCUUGAACUUAUAGAUAAAUAUUGUGAGUUCUCGCUUAUUAAAUAAAGGUGCGGAUGGUGCUAUUAGAAUAGGUAAUUAUUCUUAAACAUUUCUUUUGAAUAUUGAGUCCAAUUUAUAUGAGGUUACAUUGGUAUUGCAAUAUUUUAAAUAAGAGAAAAUCAUGGAAUGGUAUAAAGUUAUCAGAUUUUUAUGAAGCAAACUAAGCUUAAGUUUGUAAAUUAAACCAGUAUUCCUUAAAACAUUUAUCAUAUGGUACUUAAAACCCAAAAUAUCAAACUCAAAAACACCAUUCUCAUAAAAUUCAGAACUUAAAUAUUAAAUAUGAUAGUUUACAAAAUGAAAAUCUUAAAUUUCACGAUUGUAAGUUUGUAAACUAUCAUACUUUUAAUCAAACAGGAUAGCUAUGUUUUAUUUUGUUCCUGUUUGGAAUUAACUUCUAACCAUAGUUUCUUGAUUGGACCUUGUAUUUGUAGUCACUUCUCCAUGCUACUGUAUUCAACCUGUUUUACUGUUAUGUUAGCUCAGUUUGAUAUUAAUUAGCCUUAAUUAGCCUUGUGUAAGUUGUCAUGCCCAGCAACAUUCGUUUACCUUUGUAUUAAAAGUGUUUUUAUGCCAGCCAUAAUGUAUGUGAUAAUCAGGUACUUUCAAACUCAAAAGUAUGCUGAAUGAAAAUGUUGGCAAUUUUUUUAUAUAAACCUAAAUCGGAUCUAUUUGAUUUAAAUCAGAUUUUUUUAAAUUUCAAUCUGAUUUUUUCUAACAAUUUUUUUUUAACAAAGUGCAAACACCCAAAAUAUAACCCUUCACACUGACAUCAAUUUUAAAAUUAUGCAUUUCACCACCAAAAUUAUUCUUAACUAUUUCAUAAUCAAAUCCAGUCAAAAUAUAAUUUAUAGAAAAUAUUAAAGCCAUAAAGAAGCUGACAUUUUCUGCUGUGUCUAAAGUACAUAACUGUCUUGGUACAGCUAAUGCUGCAAACAUGCAAAGUUGGUGCUCAUUUUCAAAGCUCUUGGUAUUUAAUGAGGAUCAGUUUAUUUGGAAGAAUUCCAUGACUCAGAGAUUCAAGUUCUCCAAAGAGAUAUAUUUUUAAAAUUUUAUUUUCAGGUCAAGGAUUGAAGAUCAUACAUGUUAAAGAAAACUGCAUUUAUCUUUUGUUUGUUUCAACCCCAAGUUGUUCUUUGAGCCACAGUUGGAACGACCGUUUCAAAGCAUUGGCUUUCAAAGCUUUGACCGACUGCAUUUAUUUUUGUUUGUAUCAACCUUAAAGGAAUGGACCGGGCUGAAAAUAUUCAGAUCUAAAUAAAUAGAGUAAAAUGAUGAAAAUUUCACCAAAAUUGGAUGACAAAUAACAAAGUUAUUGUAUUUUAAAGUUUAUCAGUAUUUUGUGAAAACAGUUAUAUUUACAUCGUCAUGAAUGUUCAUUUGGUGGGUUGAUGAUGUCACAUCCCCUCUUUCCUUUUUCUUAUAACAUGAAAUCAUAAUUGUUUCAUUUUUUUUUUAUACAUGUGUAAAUAAUGUGUCUCCAUUAUGAUGAAAUAAGUUGCGGCAAUAAAUAACUAAUGUACUUAAUUAGUUGCCAAUUCAAUUGUUUUUAGUUCUUGGUAAAUUCCUUUUUAAUAAACCUAAUUUCACAUAAUCAUAAUCAAAAGAACAAGUGGAGAUAUGCCAUCAUAAGCCCAACUAACGGAUAUUCAUGAAGACAUGCCUAGAAAUGUUUUACCGGAAUAAUCGAAAAGAAAUCUUUAAAAUUCAAUAACUUUGUUAUUUGUUAUCCGAUUUUGAUCAAAUUUCAGUAUUUUACUCUGUGAAUUUUACUUUAUUUAUUGAUACAUGUAUCAUAAUUUCUCCAACCUGGACAAUUCCUUUAAGUUCUUCUUUGAGCCAUAGUUGGAACUAUUUGACUGUUUCAAAGCAUUGGCUUGCAAAGUUUUGACAAACUUGCAAGUUGAUUUAAAUGAUUUCGUUUACAAUAAACUGGAAAACUAGUAUUUUAGCAGCAGUUUUGAUAAAAUAUGAAAACGGGUUCCCUUAUACUACUGUGUCGGCCUAUUUAUUUGAAUACAGGAACAUGUAAAGGAAUAGAAAUGUUAAAAUAUCGGUGUAUUGGGUAAGCAGGGACGUUGCCGAUUUUUACUUUUAUUGUACUCAAUUCAAAAUAUUCACUUAAAAAUGUACAAACAUAAAUCAUUUUGGCAAAGGGCACUAAAAUGUAUAGUUGUUAUGAUUUAGUCAUGUUAGUGCCCUUUGCCAAGAACAUUCAUACAUAUUUUAAAAUAAAUGUACAUGUACUUAAUUACUGAACCUUUUUCAGUGAACUGGCUGAAUGAAGCACAAUCCUACUCAGAAUGUCUGAACAGGCUUUUUCUAGUAUAGGAUCCAUGGUUAUAACCCAUCCUGGCAAAAAUCUAUCAUGUUGAGAUUCAGCCUAAUAAGUUCAGAGUUCCUUUACUUUCUUGAAAACUGCCCUCUAAAACACUUUUGAAUUUUGACAUAAAGAAACAAGAAAUUUGUUUUACUAUUAACAAAGUCUACUCAUACAUACAAGUUGAGUAGGGGUCGCAUAUAAUGUAGGCUACAUGUUCAUCUUUGGUUUUGCAAGAUUGACUUGAUUUCAUUGAUUUGAUUUCAAUUGUUCUGAGUAGAUAUGAAGGAUUUAUUCCUGUUCUCAUGAUAUAAAGUUGGUAAAAUCUUUUUCUUUUUAAUUUAAAAAGUAAAACUGCCACAAACAAUAAAAAAUCCCAAAUAAUUUGUACAUGUUUCACUGGAAAUGAUUUAAAGGAAAAGUCAUGCACCCCAACAAAAAGCUGCUUUGAAUAGUAAGAGAAAAUCAGACAAGCAUAACGCUGAAAAUUUCAUCAAAAUCCGAUCUAAAAGAAGAAAGUAAUGACGAUUAAAAUUUUUGCUUAAUUUCACAAAACCGUGGUUAUAUGCAAAUCCUUGUCGGUAUGCAAAUUAUGGCGAUGACAUCACUCAUUUUUUUGUUGUAUUUUAUUAUGUGAAAUAUGAAAUAUUUUUAUGAAAAAAAAUCAUUCCUCCCUGACCAUGUGGGAUUACAUUGUUUUAACAUUUAGUAGUUCAAACAAGAGGGUCCUAUUUGUUAAAUUCGUAAAAAUUGAAAUGUUGUAUAAUUAAAACAGUAAAAAUGCAAAAGCAAUAGUGAGUGAGUGACAUCAUCGACUCUCUAAUUUUCAUAUCACUGAAUUGUCAUUAUAACUGGGGGCCGUUUCAUAAAGCUGUUCACAAGUUAAGAGCGACUUAAAGAACGACUGGUGAACACUUCUUACGCGAUAAACCAUCGCCAAUGUAUAUACAAUUUACCACAAGAAAGGAUCUCAAAUCGUUCUUAAAGUCGCUCUUAACUUACGAACAGCUUUAUAAAACACCCAUCUGUUUUGUGAAAAAUAAGCGAAACUUUAAAAUGUUAUCAUAAACUAUUUUACAUCCGAUUUUGAUGUAGUUUCCAGCGUUAUUCUUGUUUGAUUUUUCUCUAUGUUUAUUCAAUUAAACUCUUUUUUUCUGGGGUGGAUAUGACCUUUAAAUCAAUGAUUUGAAAAAAAUGAUCACAGUGAUUUAAAUCGCGAUUUAAAUCGCGAUUAAAAUCAACGUGAUUUAAAUCAGCCAAUCCUGCUGAAUGAACUGAAUAUGAAAACAAUUAGCUUUGUCAACACAUGCAAUGUCGAUGCCAAAGAUGUGAAAGUUGCAUAUUGGUAUGCCCGGGAGCUAUAUGCCUUGAUGCUUUACUCAUUAGUGCAAACUGCUUACAUGUACUAUGCCCCAUUGCUUUGAAGGAUAAUUAUUUUGUUUCAAAAUAUUAAUUUGUUGGAUUUGAAUUGUGGAAAGUAGGUAAUUUUUUGUUGUUGUCUGUUAAAUAUGUGCUUACCAGUUA